UACGUAGGGGGCAAGCGUUGUCCGGAAUCAUUGGGCGUAAAGAGCGCGUAGGCGGUCCGGUAAGUCAGCUGUGAAAGUCAAGGGCUCAACCCUUGAAUGCCGGUUGAUACUGUCGGGCUAGAGUCCGGAAGAGGCGAGUGGAAUUCCCGGUGUAGCGGUGAAAUGCGCAGAUAUCGGGAGGAACACCAAUGGCGAAGGCAGCUCGCUGGGACGGUACUGACGCUGAGACGCGAAAGCGUGGGGAGCAAACAGG
rnacentral:rRNA from 1 species